rnacentral:tRNA from 2 species
GGGAGUAGAUGGGUGCUGGUGUGCCCCCUGGUCUUCAAAACCAGUGAUAGUGGUGAACAGCUGCUUAGGUGGGUUCGAUUCCCACAUACUCCCGCCA